AAGAAAUUGUACAUGUUGUUUUCUUUUAUUACAAAAGCAGGAGUAAAAGACUGUGGCAGCAAAUGGCAGACAGUGAGUUCACAGCAAUUACAGAAGGCCAUUGCGAUGGUGGAAGGAAGAUAUAUUACAAACUCCCAUGGGAUAAGAUUUAGAUCUCGCCAGUGGGUUGACCUGAUAAUUCACAAGCAAUUUUUGUUUUCUGCAAGUUAUGGACAGUGGCGCAAAGCAAGGUAUAAAUGAUAUCCCCCAGGCCUUCAUAAUGUAUUCUGGUUACCUCAUGCAGCAUGUGUUAAUUUGGCAAAAAAUCGUAAGGUUAAUUAAGCAAAGAGGUAAAAAUAAAAGAUUGGAUUAGUGAUGCA